AGUUUGCAACAUCAGGAGAAUUUCCUGGAUCUAAAGGAGCGUUUGUUCAAGAUCCAAAGCCAACCACCAGUGAGACCCAUCGACUACAAAGAUUUAAUAAAGAAAAGAACACUGUCAGCAGAAACUUCUGAGAAAGCUACCAGUCUUAUUACAUCAGUGGUCCAGAAGAUUCAGCAGCCCUCAGUCUGACUAUGAAGCCUUUCAAAGGUCAGAGGAAGAAGAGGCUGAUGCUGUCUGUGGUCUUUUAUGCAGGUGUUAUUUCUCAGGAUCCCCAGAAGAAACAUAUAUAAUAACAGCUUGAAGUCUCACUAUCAGACACCAGGGAAGAGAAAAUAAUGCCCUGCUCUCUGAUAGAAGAAACCUCUUCUCUUAAAACUUCUCUAAAGGCCACAAAUCUUCCUCUAAUGUGCAGCUGAGUGUACCAGUGCAUGAGCAGAGACAAAAAGGCCAAGGAGUCCAUGGAGACCAAGAAAAGGGUUCAGCUGUGAAUGUUACCUUAGUGAGUGAUGAAGCUACCUGGCUACCUCUAACCUCUACCAGAGGUAGUCUCCGAUUGGCAGAUUAGGCAUGUUAUAUAGAAAUGAACUGACUGUGUCUGUGAUUAGAAAAACUGAUGUACCUCUGAUGUGCUCGUUUCAAAUCCUUUCCCUCCUGGUCACUCCAAGUGAAAAUCUUAAAUCUUCAGUUUUGCCUCUUGUCUUUUUGUCAGGGCCACUGUCUCCAAACUGUACAUCAUGGCAGGACUUAAUACAUGUUCUCCUUGUUACACCUGUCUCUCUCUCUCAUUCACACAUAUGAAUUCUGUCUUACUUCUACUGACUUUCAUCUCUCUGCUCUCCUGAGCAUACCUCCACCUCACCAGGCUCUCUUCUUUCGCUAUAGCUCACAGUGUCUCUGCAAAUAUCACAGUCCUGCCUGAACUCAGUUGUCAACCUGUUUAUCACCACUGUAAACAAGAAGCGAACCCAUCUGUUAUUUUGAUUUUUUUUUUCUAAUUUCACAAUGUAAGGUGAAAUUGUAGCUUGACCCUGUUAACCAUGGAUUCAAUCAGCACAGCAGAAGUUUAGGAGUUUUUAUUUAAAUAAAUAAAUAAAUGAAUAAAUGUAUACUCAAAAUGCUCUGCACUUGCCAAAAACUGCUUGUGAGCAAAGAUCACUCCAGCUCCAACUCAGGGGCUUAACUUCCUAUCCAGCCUGGUAAGGCUGUUUCUGCUGCACGACCCAUGUCAGCAUCAAGGUCCCAGGAUCCUACUGCAUAAACAGGAGAAGCUGAUUAGCAGAACUAGAACAACUCCUGCUGGCAUUGGUCCAUGAACUUCUCUGUGCCAGUGACUGGAGAUUAUUAGGGUAGAAAAUAGUAAAAGAGAGAUGAUGGCAGUAAUGCCAGACUCUGGACAUUUAUGUGAAGUCCUGUAUCCAAAACCUUAAGUUCCCAGUUUCAAAUUAACUUCAGUCUGACAUGAUGGAGCUCGUAGGAGGCAGAGAAGAUGACGGAGUCAGAAGGAGGACAUCCAGGAAAAUUCAGCCUUCAGACAGAGUCACUGGUGCUAAAGAUGAUGCUCUUACUUCUAAGCAGGAAGAGACCCCAAAUAAACAGGAGUCUCUCGCUCAGGAUGAUCACCAUCUGUCAGAAGAUCUGUCACAGAUGUGGCUGGCUGCCAGUAACUUAGGACCUAAAAUGGGUUAUUUGCUAAGCUGUCUGUCUUUUUAUCAUAGCUUGUUUUCUUUGUUUGUUAAGGCAAAUGGUCAGGUA